UACGUAGGGGGCAAGCGUUGUCCGGAUUUAUUGGGCGUAAAGAGCGUGUAGGCGGCCAGGUAGGUCCGCUGUGAAAACUCGAGGCUCAACCUCGAGAUGUCGGCGGAAACCAUCUGGCUAGAGUCCGGAAGAGGAGAGUGGAAUUCCUGGAUGUAGCGGUGAAAUGCGCAGAUAUCAGGAAGAACACCCGUGGCGAAGGCGGCUCUCUGGGACGGUACUGACGCUGAGACGCGAAAGCGUGGGGAGCGAACAGG
rnacentral:rRNA from 1 species